rnacentral:misc_RNA from 1 species
UGUUGUGGGCCCAGUGG